rnacentral:tRNA from 1 species
UUAUAUAAAGUAAAAUUUUACAUUUAAUUUCGGCUUAAACUUAGGGUAUAUAAUUACCAUAUAUAAA